AGCCGGCAAAAUCCUAUCACCACCUCCUCGCAGUGCUGGCUGGAUACAACGAUUCGUUGGAACUAAUGGUGAAGG
rfam:Lepisosteus oculatus linkage group LG8, whole genome shotgun sequence.